AGAGUUUGAUCCUGGCUCAGGACGAACGCUGGCGGCGUGCCUAAUACAUGCAAGUCGAACGGUCUUUUCUAUGGAAGCUUGCUUCCACUGAGAAGAUAGUGGCGAACGGGUGAGUAACACGUGGGUAACCUGCCCAUAAGAGGGGGAUAACAUCCGGAAACGGGUGCUAAUACCGCAUAGUUUUCUUGAUCGCAUGAUCGAGAAGGAAGGACGGCCUUUGUGCUGUCGCUUAUGGAUGGACCCGCGGGGUAUUAGUUAGUUGGUGAGGUAAGGCUCCCCCAAGACGAUGAUACCGUGCCCGACCUGAGAGGGUGA
rnacentral:rRNA from 1 species